CUCUAUACGAAAAUGUUCUGGGUUUGAACCCCGGGGUCCGCAGUCUGCCCUGCACUACCUGCUCCUUAAAGGUGAUGUAUGUGAGUUAAAGGUGAUGUAGGUGAGUUAAAGGUGACGUAUUAUGUUAAAGGUGAUGUAUGUGAGUUAAAGGUGCUGUAGGUGAGUUAAAGGUGAUGUAGGUGAGGUAAAGGUGAUGUAGGUGAGUUAAAGGUGCUGUAUGUGAGUUAAAGGGGCUGGAUGUGAGUUAAAGGUGAUGCGGGUGAGGUAAAGGUGAUGUAUAUGAGCUAAUGGGGCUGUAUGUGUGUGUAUGUGAGUUAAAGGUGAUUUAGGUGAGAUUCAAAAGUUGUCAAUAGAGAGAG
ensembl:lncRNA